UAGGGAAUCUUCGGCAAUGGGCGCAAGCCUGACCCAGCAACGCCGCGUGAAGGAAGAAGGCUUUCGGGUUGUAAACUUCUUUUCUCAGGGACGAAGCAAGUGACGGUACCUGAGGAAUAAGCCACGGCUAACUACGUGCCAGCAGCCGCGGUAAUACGUAGGUGGCAAGCGUUAUCCGGAUUUACUGGGUGUAAAGGGCGUGUAGGCGGGGAAAGCAAGUCAGAUGUGAAAACCACGGGCUCAACCUGUGGCCUGCAUUUGAAACUGUUUUUGCUUGAGUACUGGAGAGGCAGACGGAAUUCCUAGUGUAGCGGUGAAAUGCGUAGAUAUUAGGAGGAACACCAGUGGCGAAGGCGGUCUGCUGGACAGCAACUGACGCUGAGGCGCGAAAGCGUGGGGAGCAAACAGGAUUAGAUACCC
rnacentral:rRNA from 1 species